rnacentral:lncRNA from 1 species
ACCAGAGAGGCCUGAUUUGUGAAAGAGAUAAUCCUCAGCAUCCUGCCAGAUGGGGCUGAACCAAUGGCAGCAGUGUCUGAAAUGCUGAAAGCUGCUGUGAGCAGUGGCCAGCCUGCCCAUUAACCAGGAACCAUGGCUGGCUGGAGAGGCAGGAGGUAGAACAGGAUGUCCCUGGGAUGUUCUCUGUCCCCUGGCAGCUUUCCCACAUUUGCAAUCUGACCCUCCAACCAUCAGCACAUGGACCAUUGAUCUCAUGAACUCACAUUUGUGAUCCUCCACAGAACUGCCAUUGAGAAUACACAGGCCAGAGAACUUCUGGCAGAAAGUCACUCUUGGGUGAUCUUCAAAAUUCAGAAAUGGCCAUUCAGAUACAAAAACAUGUUGACAAGUGAUUCCAACAAUACACUAAUUCAGGUCCAGAAUUAAAUCCAGAUUCUGACACAAUUACAGCAGCAAUGGCACUCAGUGCAUUCAGUGUUCUAAUAGAAAAAUGGUGUUUUGCUCCAUAUGACUUGGCUCACUCGAGAGAUAUUUACAGUGAGACACAGUUUUACUGUAGUGUAAAGAUAAUUUGACAAUUACAGGUCAAAGUAUACUCACUUAUUGCUUUAUAUGAAUCUAAAAGCAGUCAAACUCAUACACAAAUGAGGAAAGAUUCUUCAUGUUUCCCACAGCUCUGAAGAAAACAGACACAGAAAUUAUGUCUGGACUGGAGGUCUCACCAGAACACACAGUAUAUGUUCUCAUCCUAAGCCUUUCCCUGCAGAGCAUGAACUCCUUACAGUUGUUGGUUUGUUCUUCAAGAACCCAAGCUCAGUUUACAAUGUCUGUCUGGGAAAGCUCUACCGCCCAAGGAAAGACCAGCCUACCUUCUCAUGGGAUCAAACAGAAGAGAUGGGAACUAAUUAAGGGGACAUUUGGAUCAGCUUGUAAACAUAAGGACGCCCCAAAGAGCACCCAAAGCAGAAACCUGGAUGCAAAUGUCUGCGGUCUUGGAGCAAAACAUGGAUGCAGAUUCCAAUCCCCAUUUUACACUGGAAGUUCAUUUCUAACCUGUGCAGACACAAGCUUUAGGCCCAGCUCUGCAUUCCUUCCACGCCCAGGGUUGGAGUUCUGCCUGAAUAAGGAAUGCAAGAGAGAAAUGAAUUCCUUAUCGGCCUGGCAGAUCUUGUUUGGUGAUGUACAUGCCUGUGAACCUGCCAGAACUCAAAUGUGGGACAUGGCACCCAGCCGAGCUCCAGAGCUGAGAGACUGCAAACCACUACUCUACUCUCUAGGACACUUGAAAUAAAGUAGAACUAUUUCCAUAAGUAACUGCUCCUAACUCCAGGAUACCUGGGUAUACUCUGAUACUUCUGUUAGAAACAACUUUCAUCAAUGGAAAAGUGAAGAUCCCAGAUUUGGAUAAAAAUGAGUAACAAAGGGAAUAAAUUGUGUAUUUCCAAAAUGAUGGGCA